GGCCGCAAGGCUGAAACUCAAAGGAAUUGACGGGGGCCCGCACAAGCGGAGGAACAUGUGGUUUAAUUCGAUGAUACGCGAGGAACCUUACCCGGGCUCGAACGGCAGCUGAAUAUUCCAGAGAUGGGAUAGUCUUCGGACAGUUGUCGAGGUGCUGCAUGGUUGUCGUCAGCUCGUGCUGUGAAGUGUCGGCUUAAGUGCCAUAACGAGCGCAACCCUUGCCUUCAGUUGCCAUCAGGUUAAGCUGGGGACUCUGGAGGGACUGCCACCGCAAGGUGCGAGGAAGGGGGGGAUGACGUCAAAUCAGCACGGCCCUUACGUCCGGGGCGACACACGUGUUACAAUGGCAGGUACAGAGGGGUGCUACCGGGCGACCGGAUGCCGAUCUCGAAAACCUGUCCCAGUUCGGACUGGAGUCUGCAACCCGACUCCACGAAGUUGGAUUCGCUAGUAAUCGCGCAUCAGCCAUGGCGCGGUGAAUACGUUCCCGGGCCUUGUACACACCGCCCGUCAAGCCAUGGGAGCCGGGGGCGCCUGAAGUCCGGGACCGCGAGGACCGGCCUAGGGCGAAACUGGUGACUGGGGCUAAGUCGUAACAAGGUAACCGU
rnacentral:rRNA from 1 species